UCCAUCUCAAAAAAAAAAAAAAAAGGAAAGAAAAGAAAAAGGAAAAACAGAAUAAAAAAGAUGGAACAACAUGCUGAGCAACAAAUAUGUGGCUGGUGAAGAAUGGUUGCUGCUUGGUCAGGUCUCUGCAGGUUACUUCCAAGGAGACCAACCUAUAGGAAGAGCAAAUCCAUCUUUCAUGCCUCCCUCAGACAGAUCUCAUUUACAUUGACUCCAGAAAAAAAUUCAUCAAUGUUUGUGAUAUUUGAAGGGUACCUUUUUCAAUUUUAGAAUUUUUAUAUCUCUCUAAAUUCUGUAUCUUGAAGGGAAUCUAGAAAGAAUAGGCAUUAGAAUUUUUAGUUAGAAUUUGUGUUUUACUCAAAAUUCUUGCCUGGAUCAAGUGUUUCCUUAAAUACUUGGCAUAACGCCUGGUGAAUAAGAAAUACUUCAAUCAAGAAGGAAAUGGGAUUGGAUGUAUGAGAUUCUUUAUUCAAAUGAUAUCUUUUAGAGUACAGACUUGGAAACCACAGCUACCCUAAGGAUUAUAUUUUGGGAGUGUAGAAAUAUUCAAGAAGAUAUAUAAAUUUCUUUAUGAUGACAAAGAUUCUUUCAAAGGAAAGGAAGCGGAGAUAGAAAUACACUAAUGAUAACAAAAUGCACAAAGUUAUAUCCAUAGUCAUCUCAUUAUAAGGUAAUGCUGUUACAAGGUUAUAAUGCUGUUAUAACACCGUUGCCCUUCUACCCAGAACUUUCACUGGCUCCCUGUUUUACUCAGAGCAAAAGCUAAAGGAUUUGUUAUGUCCUCCAAGUCACAGAUGAUUUGUUCCUUUUGCUUCAUUGAGUUGUCUCCCACUGGCCUCAUCCCUGUGUAGUCAGCUUGGUCUUCACUGGUGUCCCUUAUAAGCUGAUAUGCUUGUCUCACUCCUACCUCAGUCACUUGUCAUUUUUUUUUUCUGCUUAAAAUGCUCCCUCUACAAACACAUAUGCAACUAGAUUCUUCAUCUCCUUGUGGGUCUUGAUUGCAAAUUCACCCUUUUCUUAAGACCAUUCUAUCUAAAAUUUUAAUCUCCCAUCAACAUUUCAUACUCCCAUUCUCUUAUUUACUUAUUUUUCUUAUCAUGACAGAAAAUGCUUUGCAUUUCACCUGUGUAUCUUGUUCAUUGUUGUUCUUUCUUGUUUCCAUACAGGCUUUAUAAGGACAGGGCAUUUAGUAUGUUGUGUUCACUAUUGCAACCCUGGUUCCCAGAACAGGGUCUGACCACCAGUAGGGAUUCAAUAAAUAUCUGUAAAAUGAAUAAAUAAUGAGAUGUGAUAACAAAAUGGUUUGGCUUUGUGUCCCCACCCAAAUCUCCUCUGGAAUUUUAAUCCCUACACGUCAAAGGAGGGACUUGGUGGGAGGUAAUUGGAUCAUGGGGUUGGUUUCCCCCAUGCUGUUCUCAUAAUAGUGACUGAGUACUCACAAGAUCUAAUGGUUUUAAAAGUGUUUGGAAGUUCCUCCUUUGUUCUCUCUCUCCUGCCACUUCGUGAAGGAGCUGCCUGCUUCCCUUUCAUUGUCUGCCAUAACUGUAAGUUUCCUGAGGCCUCCCCAGCCAUUCGGAACUGUAAGUCAAUUAAACCCCUUUCCCUUAUAAAUUACCCAGUCUCAGGAAUUUCUUUAUAGCAGUGUUAGAACGGAUUAGUACAGGAAACUGGUACUGCAGCAGAGUGGGGCACCACUAAAAAGAUAACCUGAAAAUGUGGAAGUGACUUUGGAACUGAGUAACUGGGCAGAGGUUGGAACAAUUUCAAGGGCUCAGAAGAAAACAGGAAGAUGUGGAAAAGUCUGGAACUUCCUAGAGACUUGUUGAAUUGUUUUGACCAAAAUGCUGAUAGUGAUAUGGGCAACAAAGUCCAAGCUGAGGUCGUCUCAGAUGAAGAUUAGGAACUUAUUGGGAACUGGAGCAAAAGUCACUCUUGCUAUGCUUUAGCAAAGAGGCUGGCAGCAUUUUGCCCCUGCCCUAGAGAUCUGUAGAACUUUGAAUUUGAGAGAGAUGAUCUGAAAUUGAAACUUAUGUUUAAAACGGGAGCCGAGUGAAAAUGUUUGAAAAAUUUGCAACCUGACCAUGCAAUAGAAAAGAAAAUCCCAUUUUCUGGGGAGAAAUUCAAGCCAGCUGUGGAAAUUUGCAUAAGAAAUGAGAAGCUGAAUGUUAAUAGCCAAGACAUGGGGAAAAUUUCUCCAGGGCAUGUUAGAGAUCUUCAAGGGAGAGAUUCCCAUCAUAGGGCAGGAGGCCUGAAAGGGAAAAAUGGUUUCAUGGGUCAGGCCCAAGGCACCCCUGCUCUGUGCAGCCUCAGGACAUGGUGCCCUUUGUCCCAGCCUUUCCAGCUCCAGCCAUGGCUAAAAGGGGCCAAUUGCUUCUGAGGUGAAAGCCCCAAGCAUUGGUGGCUUCCAUGUGGUGUUGGGAUUGUAGGUGCACAGAAGAGAAGAGUUGAGCUUUUGGAACCUCUGCCUAGAUUUCAGAGGGAGUAUGGAAACGCCUGGAUGUCCAGAGAGAAGUCUGCUGUAGUGGCAGAACCCUCAUGGGGAACCUCUGCUAGGGCAGUGCAGAAGGGAAAUGUGAGGUUGGAGCCCCCACACGAAGUCCCCACUGGGGUACUACCUAGAAGAGCUGUGAGAACAGGGCCACCAUCCUCCAGUCCCCAGAAUGGUAGGUGCACCAACAGCUUGCACUAUGCACCUAGAAAAGCUACAGGCACUCAACACCAGGCCAAGAGAGCAGCUGUGGAAACUGAACCCUGCAAAGCCACAGGGCAAAGGUGCCAAAGGCCUUGGGAGCCUACCCUUUGUAUCAGCAUGCCCUGGAUGUGAGAUAUGGAGUCAAAGGAGAUUAUUUUGGAACAUUAAGAUUUAAUGACUGCCUUGCUGGAUUUUGGGCUUGUAUGGCGCCCGUUAUCUUCUAUGUUUUGGCAAAUUUCUCCCAUUUGAAAUGGGAGAACUUAUCCAAUGCCUGUACCCCCAUUGUGUCUUUGACAUAACUAACUUGUUUUUGAUUUUACAGGCUCACGGGCAGAAAGGACUUGCUUUGUCUCAGAUGAGACUUUGGACUUGGACUUUGGAGUUAAUUUUGGAAUGAGUUAAGACUUUGGGGGACUGUUGGAGGACUUGAACUUUUGAAUUAAUGCUGGAAUGAGUUAAGACUUUGGGGGAUUGUUGGAAGGCAUAAUUACUUUUAAAAUAUGAGGACAUGAGAUAUUUGGCAGUUCCUCCUUUUCUCUCCCCAACCCUCUCUCUCUCAAUCUCCUGCAGCCUUGUGUACAGAGUGCCUGCUUCCUCUUCACCUUCCAUCAUGAUUGUAAGUUUCCUGAGGCCUCCCCAGCCACGUGUAACUGUGAGUCAAU
rnacentral:lncRNA from 10 species